rnacentral:tRNA from 1 species
AAUGCUCAAACAGUUACGAAAACUCGGUUUUUCAUUCGCGUUGGAUGACUUUGGUAGUGGUUUUGCCUCCUACGGC